rnacentral:rRNA from 1 species
AGAACGAACGCUGGCGGCAGGCUUAACACAUGCAAGUCGAGCGCCCAGCAAUGGGAGCGGCGGACGGGUGAGUAACACGUGGGAACAUGCCCUUUGGUACGGAACAACUCAGGGAAACUUGAGCUAAUACCGUAUGUGCCGGUAACGGGAAAGAUUUAUCGCCAAAGGAUUGGUCCGCGUCCGAUUAGCUAGUUGGUGAGGUAACGGCCCACCAAGGCUCCGAUCGGUAGCUGGUUUGAGAGAACGACCAGCCACACUGGGACUGAGACACGGCCCAGACUCCUACGGGAGGCAGCAGUGGGGAAUCUUGGACAAUGGGGGAAACCCUGAUCCAGCCAUGCCGCGUGAGUGAUGAAGGCCUUCGGGUUGUAAAACUCUUUCGACGGGGACGAUAAUGACGGUACCCGUAGAAGAAGCUCCGGCUAACUUCGCGCCAGCAGCCGC